GGGGAUUUGGCUCAGUGGUAGAGCGCUUGCCUAGCAAGCACAAGGCCCUGGGCUCGGUCCCCAGCUCCG
rfam:Rattus norvegicus chromosome 1, whole genome shotgun sequence.